rnacentral:rRNA from 1 species
UUCGGGGUACUCGAGCGGCGAACGGGUGAGUAACACGUGAGUAAUCUGCCCCAGGCUCUGGGAUAGCCACCGGAAACGGUGAUUAAUACCGGAUACGACAACCGAUUGCAUGAUCUGGUUGUGGAAAGUUUUUCGGCCUGGGAUGUGCUCGCGGCCUAUCAGCUUGUUGGUGAGGUAAUGGCUCACCAAGGCUUCGACGGGUAGCCGGCCUGAGAGGGUGACCGGCCACACUGGGACUGAGACACGGCCCAGACUCCUACGGGAGGCAGCAGUGGGGAAUAUUGGACAAUGGGCGGAAGCCUGAUCCAGCAACGCCGCGUGAGGGAUGACGGCCUUCGGGUUGUAAACCUCUUUCAGCACAGACGAAGCGCAAGUGACGGUAUGUGCAGAAGAAGGACCGGCCAACUACGUGCCAGCAGCCGCGGUAAUACGUAGGGUCCGAGCGUUGUCCGGAAUUAUUGGGCGUAAAGGGCUCGUAGGCGGUCUGUCGCGUCGGGAGUGAAAACCAGGUGCUUAACACCUGGCCUGCUUUCGAUACGGGCAGACUAGAGGUACUCAGGGGAGAAUGGAAUUCCUGGUGUAGCGGUGAAAUGCGCAGAUAUCAGGAGGAACACCGGUGGCGAAGGCGGUUCUCUGGGAGUAUCCUGACGCUGAGGAGCGAAAGUGUGGGGAGCGAACAGGAUUAGAUACCCUGGUAGUCCACACCGUAAACGUUG